AAAUUAAUACGACGGUCGUUUGCACGACCGUCUCAUGGGAGAGGAGAAACCGGACGAAGAGCUUAUGGGGAAACGUAAGUCUUCUCCGCGG
rfam:Paenibacillus sp. Soil787 contig_2, whole genome shotgun sequence.